rnacentral:rRNA from 1 species
GAUGAACGCUGGCGGCGUGCCUAAUACAUGCAAGUCGAGCGAACAGACGAGGAGCUUGCUCCUCUGACGUUAGCGGCGGACGGGUGAGUAACACGUGGAUAACCUACCUAUAAGACUGGGAUAACUUCGGGAAACCGGAGCUAAUACCGGAUAACAUGUUGAACCGCAUGGUUCAACAGUGAAAGACGGUUUUGCUGUCACUUAUAGAUGGAUCCGCGUCGCAUUAGCUAGUUGGUAAGGUAACGGCUUACCAAGGCAACGAUGCGUAGCCGACCUGAGAGGGUGAUCGGCCACACUGGAACUGAGACACGGUCCAGACUCCUACGGGAGGCAGCAGUAGGGAAUCUUCCGCAAUGGGCGAAAGCCUGACGGAGCAACGCCGCGUGAGUGAAGAAGGUCUUCGGAUCGUAAAACUCUGUUAUUAGGGAAGAACAAAUGUGUAAGUAACUAGGCACGUCUUGACGGUACCUAAUCAGAAAGCCACGGCUAACUACGUG